GUGCCAGCAGCCGCGGUAAUACAGAGGUCCCGAGCGUUGUUCGGAUUCACUGGGCGUAAAGGGUGCGCAGGUGGUUUGGCAAGUUUGACGUGAAAGCUUCGGGCUUAACCCGGAAAUGGCGUUGAAAACUGCUGAACUGGAGGAUCGGAGGGGGGACUGGAAUUCUUGGUGUAGCAGUGAAAUGCGUAGAUAUCAAGAGGAACACCAGUGGCGAAGGCGAGUCCCUGGACGAUACCUGACACUGAGGCACGAAAGCCAAGGGAGCAAACAGGAUUAGAUACCCUGGUAGUCC
rnacentral:rRNA from 1 species